UUCGACGUGGCUGCAGCGGGUAAACAGUGAACUUGCGCAUAAACAUGGAAGCCAAUCUGAGAAUCUGAACAUUACCGGCAGGCCAGUUUCUGGCUUAUCGAUUGCAAUUUUCCCCAAGGGAAGCUUUACUACUGCCUCUGUGUGUACGCCGCUUAACGACGGCCAUGACCGCCACUGCUAUCGCAUCUGAUGCUUCACUGACCACAUCCUAGCCUACAUUACGUGCGAACUACACGUGAAUAGGAUCCUUCAUCAAUCCACUAAUCCUGAGCAGAGCACAACAGUACGUAUUCGAAGAGACAACACAAUCUGGAGUUCAAUGGAUCCUCUGGACAGGAAUGCUCGUUGUCGCUGUAGGGGGAUGAAAUUUUGUAUAAAUCAGGAUGAUAACCUUCCGGUUGGUCAGUCAAACAUUACUGAAACGCAAACCGAAAUUCGUGCCUAACUGGAGCCUAUAAACUGUACGGACCAGCUGCCACAAAAGAGACGUCACUUCCCGUAUCGUUUGCGUGCCCAACCACAAAGAAUUAACCGGAUAACGUAUGUAUCGAGCCGUGCAUCAAAGGCAACCACUCUGUCACUGCAUCUUAUUCAAAUUUUCCUCUAUUUCGUUCAAGUACUAUGGGGUCUCUUGAAAUCAUUCGUCCGGGAAGUCAAUUCGAAUUUCUGAUAUUAUCAAAUGCGCGACGUUAUCAGAAAAGAGAAAAACGUCAAUUGACCUCAUGGGAUAUCAGAGAUGGUAUAUCUCUUUACUAUCGAUUCUUCAUACUACUUUUAUAUUAUAUUGGCAUCUCUAUGGCGGUAGAGUGACUUGAUUUUGAUUUGCCAAACUGAAAUAAUGGAACGACUCUGUUUAUACCUUUGGGUUUACUUUUUAAUGCUGAUUGCAAUUUUUUAAUCACUUGUCUCCUAUUACGAAACGUAUACAGAGAUGGAAGUAAACAUCUAAUCAAUCCUUGCUAAUUGGAUUCGGAUAAUGUUUUCUAGGAGUCACGCUUCGCUGAUUGUGAUUUGAUUCAAUUAACCUUAAAAUCCGAUGGCGUCGUACGUCAGAGCCAACGGCUGAUUCCAGGCCUGUAUCAGAAAAUAGAAAU